AGCACAGCGACCGGGGCGUGUGAUUGGCGGGCGGGGGGAACAGGUGCAGGGACGGUGGCCAAUAGGAGGAUGCGGUGAGGUGACGGCGAGGGGGAUGCUGCGGACACGGGGACGCGCGGAGAGAAGCUCCGCUGCUGGAGGGAGUUCGUGUCACUGUUCGAACUUCAGCCAUGUUGAUGCCUGCGUGUUGUUCGCGUGUGAGACAGGAGGCGACAUGGCGGAGGAGUCUCCCUCCAGCACGACCUCUGGACAGAGAGACAGAUGCUGCAGGUUGAGCCUUUGUCCACAUGAGGGCAGCCAUUCUCUGUUCCAGUGAAGGAGCCAUAGUCAAAAUGAAACCAGUUGAACCACCUCUUAUUUACUGUAAAUGUUUGAAAAGUGCUCUCCUGUGUCUGUUUGUUUAGGGAAAUCACUGCAGCCCCUCACCUGUCUUCACCUCCUCCAGCAUCCAACGAACUUCAACUGACAAAACCCAGGCACAUGGUGAUGUUUAGCGGAGUUCUUCAUCUCAAGGUCAUCGGGUCAUCAAUAGCUGUUCUCACAUGCUCCGACUGUGACCAGGCCAUGAAGGAUUGUGAAUUCUCGGGGAAAGGGCUCUGAUGAUGAUGACUCCUUCCUCCAUAUUGACAUUGGGAUCCUCCUUGUUGAGCAUGAAGGUGCUGUGCUCUCAUUUUCCCUGCAUCUCAGUUCAGCCUCAAUGAAGAUCAUCAUCAAGGGAGAAGUUUUGAUGGGCAACAUUAGAGACCCGCCAAAGGCUAUGUGUAUUCUGUUUGGACUAGCAUACGCACUUUAUCUCAACUUCCCUAAGUCUAUGAAGCUUACAAACGGUGCAUGAUAGUUCUUAUGUGUCUUUAUUUGUCUUUUGAUUGACAAGCUUUUUUAUUGCCCUGAUAAAACGUUUGAAUUGUUUUUGGUAACAAUAAAAUGCAUUGGAGCAUAAA